rnacentral:lncRNA from 1 species
UAAGCAACAUCUAGGCCUCUCGUGAUUACUCCAGAGUAUGCUGAGAUAGGAAACAUAUAGGGAUCACCUCAUUGUGUGAAAAAGAAACACUAAUGCUUGAGCAAGUGGUAAAAUACGAGUCUACUAACUCGCAAGCUAAGGUAAAACGAGAACCACCUGUAAUGUAUAGCAGGGGACCCUGCAUAGAGAUAAAAGAAUGACUCUUUAGUUUACACGCUUAAACCUUCAUAAGCUGCCUCCUCUAUCUCGUCAUGGCACUCCGGGCAAACCUACUAUGUAGUGUUACUCUACUAGCAAACGGGCUAGCCACGAAUGGAAAAAUUGAUUGUUGUAUGUGUAGAAUACAAA